AUUGAACGCUGGCGGCAGGCCUAACACAUGCAAGUCGAGCGAGCGGCGGACGGGUGAGUAAUGUAUGGGGACUGCCCGAUAGAGGGGGAUAACUACUGGAAACGGUGGCUAAUACCGCAUACUAUCGGAUAACCCAUAUGGGAUUAGCUUGUAGGUGAGGUAACGGCUCACCUAGGCGACGAUCCCUAGCUGGUCUGAGAGGAUGAUCAGCCACACUGGAACGGAGAAACGGCCCAGACUCUAAGGGAGGCAGCAGUGGGGAAGAUUGCACAAUGGGGGAAAGCCGGAUGCAGCCAUGCGGGGUGUAGGAAGAGGGCCUUCGGGUUGUAAAGUACUUUCAGUCGGGAGUCGUUACCGACAGAAGAAGCACCGGCUAACUCCGUGCCAGCAGCCGCGGUAAUUC
rnacentral:rRNA from 1 species